AAGGAAAAGCUGACUGACUGAUCUGUCAACACAUAGCUCAAACUUCUGGGCGGAUCGGGCUGAACUUUGAACUUUUGGUACUUUUUUU